GACGAACGCUGGCGGCGUGCCUAAUACAUGCAAGUAGAACGCUGAAGCUUGGUGCUUGCACCGAGCGGAUGAGUUGCGAACGGGUGAGUAACGCGUAGGUAACCUGCCUGGUAGCGGGGGAUAACUAUUGGAAACGAUAGCUAAUACCGCAUGAUAUUGAUUAUUGCAUGAUAGUCAAUUAAAAGGUGCAAUUGCAUCACUACCAGAUGGACCUGCGUUGUAUUGGCUAGUUGGUGAGGUAACGGCUCACCAAGGCAACGAUACAUAGCCGACCUGAGAGGGUGAUCGGCCACACUGGGACUGAGACACGGCCCAGACUCCUACGGGAGGCAGCAGUAGGGAAUCUUCGGCAAUGGACGGAAGUCUGACCGAGCAACGCCGCGUGAGUGAAGAAGGUUUUCGGAUCGUAAAGCUCUGUUGUAAGAGAAGAACGAGUGUGAGAGUGGAAAGUUCACACUGUGACGGUAUCUUACCAGAAAGGGACGGCUAACUACGUGCCAGCAGCCGCGGUAAUACGUAGGUCCCGAGCGUUGUCCGGAUUUAUUGGGCGUAAAGCGAGCGCAGGCGGUUAGAUAAGUCUGAAGUUAAAGGCUGUGGCUUAACCAUAGUACGCUUUGGAAACUGUUUAACUUGAGUGCAAGAGGGGAGAGUGGAAUUCCAUGUGUAGCGGUGAAAUGCGUAGAUAUAUGGAGGAACACCGGUGGCGAAAGCGGCUCUCUGGCUUGUAACUGACGCUGAGGCUCGAAAGCGUGGGGAGCAAACAGG
rnacentral:rRNA from 1 species